AUGAUCAACACACUCACUCUUCUGCUGGUUGCUCUCUCUCUGCCCUGUUGUACAGGUCAGAGUAUGGAGUCCAUUCCUUCUAGUUCAGUAGUGAAGAAGCCUGGGGAGAGUCUCAGUCUCUCCUGCAGAGGAUCUGGCUUCACAUUUAGUUGCUGCAGUAUGCACUGGGUAAGACAACCUGCAGGAAAAGGACUGGAAUGGAUUGGGGUUGUUUACAGCGAUGCGAGUGGAACAGAUUAUGCCAGCAGUGUGCAAGGACGAUUAGAAGUCACCAGAGAUAACAGCAACAGCAUAGCUUAUCUGAGACUGUCCAACUUAAACCCAGAAGACUCUGCUGUGUAUUACUGUGCCAAAGACACACACUGGUUGGAUCAGACAGCCUGCAGGGAAAGGACUGGAGUGGAUUGGAAGGGCACGUUUGGAUGGACAACAUAUUACAAAGAUUCACUAAAGAACAAGUUCAGUAUCGACACAGACUCUUCCAGCAACACAGUGACUCUAAACGGACAGAAUGUGCAGCCUGAAGACACUGCUGUGUAUUACUGUGCCAGACAUCCACAAUAA